GAUAAUUGCCUGUAUUACUUCCAUCCAUUGUAGUAGCAUUACCAUGACCUUCCCUGAAGAAGUUAAUAAACCUGCAUUUGCAAUUAUUUUCUUUUUUGUUUGUUUUGUUUUGCUUUGGGAGUUAUGGAUAUUUACGUAUUUUGUAUUUCACCAAUGAGCCAAACGGUUAAUUUAGAUUUGUGAUGUCCAGGGAAGAGUUCAGUAGUCCCCUGUAAAGCAUCAGUUUAAAGGGAAGGACUUGACAGGAGACAUACAAUUAACUGGGAGUCCAAUUCUCCAGUCUCCACAGUUAUGAAAAGGAAGAGGUGCUCCCCUUUCAUCACUGAUUUGUUGAUUCUCUCAUUGACUCCAAAUGUCUUAAUUGGGCUUCUACUAUAAAAAUGGAAGCCACCUGGUGACAAGGUCACUGUGCCAGAGAUGAAAGUACGGAGAAUGGAAUUCCCUGAUGUUAAUAUAAUAUAAGUGACCCUGAAAGUUACCUAGUAGCCAAAAGCUUUGUACAAAUUUUAAAUAAGGGUUCAUUAUAUACUUGUUUGCAAGGAGGAACCACCAGCUUUAUCUUUGCAAAUUUGACUCUAAAUUACGAAGAGUUUAACCUGAUGAAAGUAAGGCUCAGAAACACCUGGAAUUUAAGAAGACAAGAUUCUACGCAUUGUCAUCUGCAGAAUAAUUAUUUGUAUUACCAAUGAAUUUGCACACUUUAAUUUUAUGGAAGGAUUUAAUUAUUUUCAGCUGUAGAAAAACUUUUAAGAAGCUUUUUAUUAAAAAAAGAUGAAUACACGAACUGAAAUGUUCACUCUAAAAAUUCAAAGCACAAAACUUUUAAAUUCAUGUAAUAAUGCUGACA